rnacentral:misc_RNA from 1 species
GAUUGUUUUCAAAAUAUGGAGGACGUGCGAUUUUGCUGAGUGCUCGUCGGCAAGAUAAUUUUCUUGAUAAAUUUCUCCUUACCAGGCCUUAGCUUUGCGAAAUAAAUAAUGAGUGACGAUGGAUCAGGUAUUUUCAAAGCUGAAGAAGCCAUUAACUUUUUGGAAAACGAGGAACCGAAAGGUAGAGUCAAAGUCGAGACUUCUCUAGCAGUUGAAAGGAUUGAAAGUGUUGCUUACAGCAAUGGUCUUCCACCUGAUCAACUUGUGAAUUUAGUCAAGAUAGCGACUGGUGGAAAAUAUGAUGAUAGUAUUUCUUCAAGGCUUAUCAGAUCCCUGAUUCCACAGAAAUCAGUUCCUGGGUUAGCAGUUGUGAUCAUAGCAUCAAGGAUUUGUAGUAACAGACUAUCUAUGAGCAUAAAGUGUUUGUUACUCAGAUGGAUCGUACUUAUCUUUAACCUUAUUGAUGAUCUGAAAGAUGUGCAUUCUCUGUAUGGAAUCUUCUUCCUCUUUUUGGAGAGUGACACUUUGUGUCCUCAUUUAUGCCAUCUCUUAUAUUACUUGACAAGAAAGAAAGAUGUGAGGAAUUUUAGGAUCAGAAAACUGCUGGAUCUACAGCAUCGCAGGGGAAUGAAACCUUAUCUCUGUGCCUUACUUGCUGUUUACAAGAGACAUUGUCCAAAUGUUGUUACCAUGGCAGUGACAGCUUCUACUACGAGAUUAUGGUUCAAGGAAACAGACAAAUCCUGGAGGGAGGCAAUCAAGAAGGUCCAGCUCAAAUAUGAUACAAGAGAAACAGUGGAAAGUUUUUCCCUUUCAGUGAGGACAGCUAAAAGUGUUCCAGUAGCAAAACGACGAAAACUUAUUGGGAACAUUCCCGAAAUACAGACAGCCACGAUAAAUGAAAAGGAAAUUUCCAUCGAGCAGCUCUUCUCCUUUGAGGAUCUUCUUGCAAACAUUGAAAAAAUAGAGUUUCCGAGCCAGGUGGCCUCAGUGGUCAACUCACCGUUCCUGCAGCACGUUUUAAGCUGUAAUCCUGACUUCGUAGUGUUACAAAGAUUAAACUUUUGGCUCAAUCAUACUUUGUACGAAGAGUUUCUUAACAGUUCAGCAUCAGAAUCUGAUCCGUAUACCUGGAUGUUGUUGCGGCAAUUAAACCACUUAACUGGCUUUCUCCAAGAAUCUGUCCCAGCGGUGGAAGCUUUCUUGGUUCGAUUCCUGUUUACAUGGAACGGACUGGAUUUCAGACCAUUGAUUCUGCAACUCAUAACUCAUCUGAGUUUAUGGCCGUUUCAACGUUUGAAUGAUCUGGUUCUUGAACCGCUUAGAAAACUUUUCUUUUCAUCGUCAGUUUACGUGAAGUGUCAAGUUAUGUACUGCUUUACUGAACUGCUGAGAAAUUUCCUUGCGGUUGAGUUACCACGGCAGCAGGAAUUACUUCAAGAAGAGCGAUCUCAAAGACCACGUGGUCUGGCUAGUGUCUCGUUGUUUGUUGAAGACGAAGUUGAGGCGUUUGAUCCUCUAAAGACCAUAUAUGAUUUCAUACAGUUUGUGGAUAGGGUCUGUGUCGUAGGUUUACAGGUCGAAAGAGACCAUGCGCUGUUACAGCAUUGGGUGUUAAACUUCUUUGAACUGGUUUCAACUUCCCAUCAACAGUUUUCUUUGCCAUUUGUCCUUAUUCCUUCCUCUGGGAUCAAACGAUUACUGAUUGUACUUUUUACCUUGUUUCAUGUUUCAGGUUUCAACUUCCCAUCAACAGUUUUCUUUGCCAUUUGUCCUUAUUCCUUCCUCUGGGAUCAUCUAUAGAAUGUUGUUUUCUAGUAACUCCAUGGCUGUGUCAAGAUUGUGUCAAAUCAUCGUCAACUUCAAGAAGGAGUUUGAAUCCCUGAAGAUAACACAAGGAGAAUCUCAG